GAUGAACGCUGGCGGCGUGCCUAAUACAUGCAAGUCGAGCGAACAGAUAAGGAGCUUGCUCCUUUGACGUUAGCGGCGGACGGGUGAGUAACACGUGGGUAACCUACCUAUAAGACUGGGAUAACUUCGGGAAACCGGAGCUAAUACCGGAUAACAUUUGGAACCGCAUGGUUCUAAAGUGAAAGAUGGUUUUGCUAUCACUUAUAGAUGGACCCGCGCCGUAUUAGCUAGUUGGUAAGGUAACGGCUUACCAAGGCAACGAUACGUAGCCGACCUGAGAGGGUGAUCGGCCACACUGGAACUGAGACACGGUCCAGACUCCUACGGGAGGCAGCAGUAGGGAAUCUUCCGCAAUGGGCGAAAGCCUGACGGAGCAACGCCGCGUGAGUGAUGAAGGGUUUCGGCGCGUAAAACUCUGUUAUUAGGGAAGAACAAACGUGUAAGUAACUGUGCACGUCUUGACGGUACCUAAUCAGAAAGCCACGGCUAACUACG
rnacentral:rRNA from 1 species